rnacentral:misc_RNA from 1 species
GAUGAAGAACGUAGCGAAAUGCGAUAAGUAAUGUGAAUUGCAGAAUUCAGUGAAUCAUCGAAUCUUUGAACGCACCUUGCGCUCUUUGGUAUUCCGAAGAGCAUGCCUGUUUGAGUGUCAUGAAAAUAUCAACCUUGACUUGGGUUUUGUGCUCUAGUCUCGGCUUGGAAUUGGGUGCUUGCCGCUUUUACGAGCGGCUCACCUUAAAUGUAUUAGCUGGAUCUGUCUUUGAGACUUGGUUUGACUUGGCGUAAUAAGUAUUUCGCUAAGGACAUUCUUCGGAGUGGCCUCGUUUCUAGGACGCUUGUCCGCUUUCCAAUACAAGUUCCACCUCGUGGACAUGACUUUUUAUUAUCUGGCCUCAAAUCAGGUAGGACUACCCGCUGAACUUAAGCAUAUAAUAAGCGGAGGA